GAGAGAUCCUAACUGAAAGAUCCAGUCAGUAAGACUGUUGGAACUUGUGAACCUGGGUAGCUGUGUGCCGCAAAGAGAUUCAAAACUCCAGGCAAGGUACCACUAUUCGCCAACCUUCAGUACAGGAGAACUCACCCGAACAGAGCAGCUCCUUCAUGAAUGCUGCUUUGUGAGUCAGCAAGGAUGUAGUAGGGUCCUUCUCGCUGCCUCCCCCUCCCCACCAUCCCACUGCUGAUGACUGAAUGUUUCAACCACUGGAGCUGUGCCCAGCUUUUCCUGACCCACUCAAAAACCUUGGCAGGAAAACAGGCCAAUACCACUCCACCAGCUUCCUGGUUGUAACGUGAAGAGGAAAUCCCAGUGUGCUGCAGGAUGUGUAAGUGAAAGGGUAAUUCCAGGCCAGGCAGAACCCAAGCGAUGCAAAUCUCAACAGAAAGACUGAUUUUGUGAGAGC